UUCCAUGGCAAUGGCGAAGAAGGAAGUCCCUUGAGCCUCGUCUCCUCACGCCGAAGCAUCGCAAAGCCAUCGUUGUAGCAGCAGCUGCUUCAGCAGAGUCGAGGAUUCGAGAUGGGGAUGUUGCGAGGUUGCUGAUUUCGCCGCUGGGUUUUGGAACUGGGCGAGAGGGGCUAUAGCAUUAGAGCAGUUGGAUGGGCGCCGCGUUGCCAAGGAGGGUUGUGUGACAGAAGCGAGAGGCGCGGCGUUGCCGAGCUGUGCCGGUAGACAAGAGCUGAAAAUUGUUGCCGAGAAGAAGAGCCAUGCUGGUGAAGGAAGCUCUUGGCAUCUUUAUUCUGUAAAGCUGGCUGCAGGAAGAUGCAGACAUUGGGACUGAAACAUAAUCAAGAAAGAAAAAAGUUGGAAUUCGCAGUGUUUGUUCUACGUGCCAGGCCACACAAACAUAUUUCGUAUAAAAUCGUUUCUUCUGAAGGAGUCUGAACGAAUCAAUCACAACGUUUCAAACAAAUUAGUCAGAAGUCUCAAUCUGUUGAAUGAUUUGGCCUGUUGCAGCGGCAGGCUUCCUCGUGGAAGCUGGCAAGACUGCAUGGGAUGCGAGCACAAAUCUCAUUCCUGAGAGUGUACCCAGAGGAGUGGCUCGUAUUACUGUCGGAGUUGUGGGCGUAUCUUUGAUUAUUCAUGCUUUAAGAGCAUUCUUCUCAACGGCCCUCUUUAUCAUGCAGGGAAUUGCAGGAUUCAGUUACUUGGCACCUAUACACCUUAACAAAAACAGUGACUCGGGAAGCGCUGGCGGUGUCAAGCCUCCUAAUACAGAGGUUUCACUGGAGGAAGCCCGUCGUAUAAUGGAGACAUACAAAUAGGAUUUUCCACGUUUAACAGUCGGAUCAGAGGGCGCCCCUAAGUUUGAGUUGGGGUCCGAACUAGUCACUGUUGACACUCUUUUGCAUCGAGCUCACGUUCGUUAUACAUUUUUUUUUUAAUUUCUUAAAUUGUUAACUAAGCAGAAGAUAAAACCCCAUCCUUGCACGAGAAUGUCAUGCAUCCGAAUUUCCCCACUGAAUCGACUGUAGCUAAAAGUGAAUAGAUUUUUUUCUACUUUCCACCUCUCCAAGGCUGUAGGGGUAAAGCAGGUCUGGAUCACUGCAUGUAUUUAACCCUGUUAGGAUUAGGGUUUCAGAGUAUGGCAUGCUGCAGUACUCAACUGCUGGGAAGAUCCUACUCUCAACCAAGCCACGCUAUAGUCAACAUUUCCUCUAACGAAUCGUGUUCCUUCAUUGCAGAAACGUGAAAAAGUUGACAUGUGCGAAUGGUGUGUACAAUGCCAAGUUUUGCAGAUUCUGCCAAAGAUGGGUAUCAAUAUUGCACGAUUCACGAUCCAAGGCCGUGAGUCAGAUCCAAGCCCGCAACAGAGAAAACCCUGGCACAACAUCAACAGAACCCAAAGCAGACGGAGGACAUAACCAUCAUCCUGGUGUGAGCAGUUAAUGGAACUGCAUGUAGCUCACCUCAAGUGGAGGCAAGUGGGAUGCGCAACCAGAGCAGCGCUGUUCAUUGGGCUUCCUCAACUUGUGGGUGGCUUAAUCUGCCUCAACGACGUGUCAGGAAAAAGACAAUCCAACAAACCAACGAAGCAACAAACAAACUCCACCAGGUUUGCUGCGCAUCAUAGAUAACGCACUGAUUCGUUUUAUUCUUCACAGAACAACCAAUGAACCAAAAACAAUAAAAAUAAAAAUAAAAUGAAAAGUUGGAAGUAUCUGCAGCACACCUUGCCGACGUGAUUGGUGUGGGCUAGAGCACAACGUUACCUAUGUAAAAUGCUUAUCGAAACAUUUAAGUCAACACUAUAUAUGUGUAUGUAUAUAUAUAUAUAUAUAUAUAUAUAUCUUUAUAUCUGGCAGUUUGUUGUUUCUUUUUUUUUAAACGUAGGUUUAUCUGAAUACUUUUGCAAAAAAAAAAAAAAAAAAAAAAAAAAAAGUCAAAUAUAAGUUAAGCAAUUAGGGUGCUGAAUUGGUUUUUUCAAAGGACUUUAUGUGCUCAAUACAAUUUGAACAUCUACUGACAUCUAGUUGGGAUUUUUUUCA